UAUUGGUCAAUGGGCGAGAGCCUGAACCAGCCAAGUCGCGUGGAGGAAGACUGCCCUACGGGUUGUAAACUCCUUUUACCUGGGAAUAACGGGCGUUACGAGUAAUGCGGUGCAAGUACCAGGAGAAUAAGCAUCGGCUAAUUCCGUGCCAGCAGCCGCGGUAAUACGGAAGAUGCGAGCGUUAUCCGGAUUUAUUGGGUUUAAAGGGUGCGUAGGCGGAAGAAUAAGUCAGCGGUGAAAUACUUCAGCUUAACUGGAGAAUUGCCGAUGAAACUGUUUUUCUAGAGUAUAAAAGAGGUAUGCGGAAUGCGUGGUGUAGCGGUGAAAUGCAUAGAUAUCACGCAGAACCCCGAUUGCGAAGGCAGCAUACUGGGCUAUAACUGACGCUGAAGCACGAAAGCGUGGGUAUCGAACAGGA
rnacentral:rRNA from 1 species